rnacentral:tRNA from 1 species
GCUUUAGAAAGAUAAUAGCACAUCUAUU